rnacentral:rRNA from 1 species
CCUACGGGACGCAGCAGUGGGGAAUAUUGCACAAUAGGCGCAAGCCUGAUGCAGCCAUGCCGCGUGUAUGAAGUAGGCCUUCGGGUUGUAAAGUACUUUCAGCGGGGAGGAAGGCGGUGAGGUUAAUAACCUCAUCGAUUGACGUUACCCGCAGAAGAAGCACCGGCUAACUCCGUGCCAGCAGCCGCGGUAGUACGGAGGGUGCGAGCGUUAAUCGGAAUUACUGGGCGUAAAGCGCACGCAGGCGGUCUGUCAAGUCGGAUGUGAAAUCCCCGGGCUCAACCUGGGAACUGCAUUCGAAACUGGCAGGCUAGAGUCUUGUAGAGGGGGGUAGAAUUCCAGGUGUAGCGGUGAAAUGCGUAGAGAUCUGGAGGAAUACCGGUGGCGAAGGCGGCCCCCUGGACAAAGACUGACGCUCAGGUGCGAAAGCGUGGGGAGCAAACAGGAUUAGAUACC